UCCAGGAUGGCAGAGUGGUUUAAGGUGCUAGACUCAAGGUGUAGCUUGAUUGGGUGUUCUGGUCUCUGUAUGGAGAUGUGGGUUCAACUCCCACUCCUGGCA
rnacentral:tRNA from 1 species